rnacentral:rRNA from 1 species
GACGAACGCUGGCGGCGUGCUUAGCACAUGCAAGUCGAGCGGUAAGGCCCUUUCGGGGGUACACGAGCGGCGAACGGGUGAGUAACACGUGGGUGACCUGCCUUUAGCUCUGGGAUAAGCCUGGGAAACCGGGUCUAAUACCGGAUAUGACUCCGCGGCGCAUGUUGUGGGGUGGAAAGCCUUGUGCGGCUGGAGAUGGGCCCGCGGCCUAUCAGCUUGUUGGUGGGGUGANGGCCUACCAAGGCGACGACGGGUAGCCGGCCUGAGAGGGCGACCGGCCACACUGGGACUGAGACACGGCCCAGACUCCUACGGGAGGCAGCAGUGGGGAAUCUUGCGCAAUGGGCGAAAGCCUGACGCAGCGACGCCGCGUGAGGGAUGACGGCCU